UUCAAGUGCUUGUGUGUUCUUGUACCUGAGACAGAUAAUGAGAUGUUGCUCAAAGGUUGAUGAAGAUGGAAGGAUGAAGACCACAUGCUGCGUUUCAUGAAGCAGUGAUGUCAGACUUACUCCACCUGCAGUCUCCUAGGGACGGUGCUGUUGUUCUGUGACAUCAGGCUGCUGCAUCUCAGUGAAGUGGACGGAGAUGGAUUCGACUGGACUUCAAUAUGAAUCUGGAUUCUAUGACACUGACGGAGACAUGAGAUGGAAUGAGGUGGGGAGGUUAUCCCUGGAGGGAGCAGAUGUAAAAGACUGAUCCCAGGUCACGGACUUCUGCAGCUGCUGAACACAGAGUGACAGCUGAGAGGAGCUGCGGACUUGACCGAGGGCUUUAUGCCACAACCUCAUUCCAGGAGCCGGCUCCUCCUUCCUGUUUUCAGCUCUGCCAGUCUGGUGACGGCAAUAUCAAGAGGAUUGUUAGGCCGACGCACUAUAGAGCCAGGAAUGUCCACGGGGUUCGACCGUCGACUUUCCUUUUGAGAAGCUGAGGAUGAAAUCAGCCUGUGCUCAUGAUAGACCAGAUCCUUUCUGUCCGACUCUGGCUCAGAGGGCAUCCAUCCCUGGAGAACAACACAGUAAAUAUCAGAGACAACUUUUCUCUCCAGAGCUUCGAUCUGCUGCAGCAGGGUGACGUCCACCUCCAUGGCUUUCUCUUCAACACUCCAAGUCUUGAGACUUUCUCCCUGAUGCCACGGCUGUGCAGAGCCUCGACCAGACAGUGCACUUGGUUAAUGUCCGACACUCGCCACCAACCAUGCAGCAUCUCUCUCUUCUAUGUCGACUGAAUGUUCACCGUCGUCCUGGAGAAAAACAGUUCAGUCAUGACCUCAGGGACUGGUCAACAGACACAAAGAACAACAGACUCACCUUGUGACCCGCAGGAAUUCCAGGACUGGACACAGCUAUGGACAACAUUCUCACAAGCAGAAACUGCAGGACCAUCAAGCAGUCAGAGAAGGUGCUUCCAGAUAAGACCAGGCCAUGGACACGGGACAGUUCUGGAAGACACUGGACAGAAACACGAGUUACAGAAACGGUGUUGUUUCAAUUUGAUAUAAAAUCUUGUUUUUUUUUCAAGUCUUUUUUUUUUAUAUUUUAAAAGUUCGCAUUGAUGCAGUUCAUUCGACUGAGUUGCUUGCUAGGAUUACAGUAUCCACUUGGUGGCAGUAUUGUAACUCUUACCUUUUUAGUCAAUCAGAUGUUUUCAGUAAUAUACAGA